CUCACUCAGCUUCUCCUAGUAACAGGUUGGGAUGGACCAUCCCUUAGUGUUCCUGUAGCUCCCCUGACAAGAGGGAGAAAUUGGAGGUGGGAGACAAUUCCAGGUUACCACGUCUACAGCUGGAAUCAUCUGCAAGCCUUGUGGCCAAGUGUGUCGACAAACAAAGAAAAAUCAUCAGAUGGUGAAUACUCACUCUGGGAUUUGUACCCCGCCCAUGCAGAGACUGAGCCCUGCCCUCUCCAGCCACAACGCAAGAGAUUUUGGUGUCAUACUUGUGGUGUCUCAGUGUCCUCCACUCGACUGCUGCUGUUUUGGCCCGAAAGCCCACCAGGGUCUCUGGCAAGUUUUCUGAACUGUCACAUUUCUGAGUGGAAGAUGCACAGACUCCUGGCCAGGGGAAUACAGGGGAAAAUCUUAUUUACAGAUAUUUCUUCCCCUGUCAGGCAUGUCACCUUUGGGAAUGGAAGCUACACUGUAGAAACAGCAAUAAACCUGUGA
rnacentral:lncRNA from 1 species